ACAGCAGCCGCGGUAAUACGUAGGGGGCGAGCGUUAUCCGGAAUUACUGGGCGUAAAGGGCGCGUAGGCGGCAUAAUAAGUCAGGUGUGCAAUCCCCGAGCUUAACUUGGGAACUGCACUUGAAACUGUUGUGCUUGAGGGCAUGAGAGGAAAGCGGAAUUCCUAGUGUAGCGGUAAAAUGCGUAGAUAUUAGGAGGAACACCGGUGGCGAAGGCGGCUUUCUGGCAUGCAACUGACGCUGAGGCGCGAUAGCGUGGGGAUCAAACAGGAUUAGAUACCCUGGUAGUCCACGCCGUAAACGAUGGAUACUAGGUGUAGGAGGUAUCGACCCCUUCUGUGCCGCAGUUCACACAUUAAGUAUCCCGCCUGGGGAGUACGGCCGCAAGGUUGAAACUCAAAGGAAUUGACGGGGGCCCGCACAAGC
rnacentral:rRNA from 1 species